rnacentral:lncRNA from 1 species
CUGUCACAGCAAUUGCAAUGGAAAAUUCACUAAACAAUAGAUUCCAAUAGGAGCGCUCAAUAGAAUUCUAGAAUAGAAUAGAAAUUGAGAGAUCCUCUGUUCUAUCCUGUUUCCCCAAAAUAACUUGGUUAUAGAAGCUGCCUGGCAUUUAGUCUUUUACACAACUUACUGCCCCCAUUAACUCGUAAGAAACUCAAAGGUUAGUGACUUCAAGUUGGGAGCUAGAAACCAGCAUGGUGAGAGCAUCGACACCAUAAAUACUGGCAAAUUCUUCCCACCAGGCUCUCUCUUUC